GUGCGAAGGUAGCAUAAUCACUUGUUCUUUAAAUGAGGACUCGUAUCAACGGCACUACGAGGGCUAUACUGUCUCCUUUUUCUAAUCAGUGAAACUGAUCUCCCCGUGAAGAAGCGGGGAUCAAAAUAUAAGACGAGAAGACCCCAUGGAGCUUUAAACUCAUCACGCACCUCUGUGCCCCCAUAUCCUCAAACACAAGAGAUCUGCGUGCUAGUUUUAGGUUGGGGGGACCACGGAGUAUAACUUAACCUCCAUAACAAAUGGGCUAACACCCUUAUCCAUGAGACACAGCUCUAAGAAUUACUAAACUAAUGCUUAUGACCCGAUAUUCGAUCAAUGAACCAAGUUACCCUGGGGAUAACAGCGCAAUCUACUUCAAGAGCCCAUAUCGACAAGUAGGUUUACGACCUCGAUGUUGGAUCAGGGUAU
rnacentral:rRNA from 1 species